GAUUUUCCUCUAAGAAUUUUUCUAAGACCAUUCUUAGAGAAAAAUCGUUCUUAGAAAAUAAAACGAUUUUCGUUCGAAAAAGAUUUCUAUUUUUGACAGAUUGAGCGCUUUUGCAUUUGUGCGCAUGCGCGAUUAUUACUGCGAAGCAAAACAAUAUGGCAACUUUGAAGGACAAUGUGUGUCAUUUCAAAACGCGAGUGUAAUGUGUUUUAAGGCUUCAAACACAUUAUUUUAAUUGAAUAUUGGAUGUUAUUCCAUCUGCUAUUCGUUAAAGCCGAUAAUACUGAAAUCGCUCAAACGUUCAGAGUAGAGAACGGUUAAUAAUUAAUGUGCGUCGAAUCAUAUUCGCGUGAAUGUGGAUCAAUUGUUAGUUGAUGUUACGUGUCUAUACAAUCUUCAAUCGAAAGCAAUAAAAUGUGUCAAGUCUGAAUAUAACACGGAUGGUUGCAUAAUGGUAUGUGUGGAAUAAAGUAAUUCUACAUAUUUAUUUCAUAGUUAUGUCAUUGUGUAACCAUUCGACUUCGUCACGAAUAGGAAUUCCCGUCUCUAAAAAUAGAACAUUUUACUUGGGAUGUAAACAGACGACAACUGUCAAAAUCAGUGUUAAACAAUGGCGACAAGUAAAAAGGAACGGGAACAAAAAUUUUCGUUGGACGAUUGUUUAAUCCUUUGUAAUUUAAUGGCUGAAGGAAGUGGCAUCAGCGGAUUAACCAACCAUGAGCUACUGAAACAUAGAUUUACAGAAGAUGUAACUGCAGCUGUCACGGAAACGACCAACUACAUGGAAUGUCUUUGGAGCAACUGAAAAGAAAAAAAAUUAUACUUGAAAUCCAGUUGUUAACACAAAAGCUACAGUCACCAUAAAUGUUUUUUUUAACGUAAGCUUUUGUUUUUUUUUAUCAAAAUCCUUAGUCCAUAAAAAAAUUAAAUACUUUUUUAAAAUAGCAUUUGUUUUAAUGAAAAUUUAAUGCAUUUUUGAUACAGAAAGCAAUUUUGAAAGCAUGAAAUGCUUAAAUAUUUAUUAUGUUUGAAGACACUUUUACAAUAUACAAUAAUAUAUAGAAUCUUCUAAAUCACCUUUUUUAACACAUGUAUGGACUUCAUUUUCAGUUGUAUAUUUUGUACAGUUGUGUCAGUAUUACUGACAAGUUUAAUUCUGUUUAAUAAUUUAGAAGUACGAUAAAAUGGUCUUCAUUUAAACAUUCAAUGUUAUUGUUCUUUAUUGUUGAAAGGUACAUACUUUUACAGUUCGAUAAUUAUAUUGUAUCACCAAAAUUGGUAACAAGUUUAUGCUAUUUUUUACUGUUAACUGCAAUGAUAAUUAACAUCAAAGAAAUCGUAAACAUUUAGAUGUUUGUAAACAAUGUACAUGGGUUGUUCACUCUAAUGUGUAUAUUGAUAUUAACUCUUAUGUCCAUAUUGAAAUUGUUAAGUCAUUAAUUUAAUUUGUUUUACCGUACCUUAGUUAAAAUAUGUUAGUGCUACAAAAUCCCUGUAUCGCUGAAAGAAGCUCAGGCACCUAGUCCCCCGAGUUAUAACUCGUAUUACCUGCUCUGUGGCAGGGGUAUCAUCGGGCGCCACCCGACUCUUUGUAGCUAGGUUCGGCUUAUAUCGGGCUUCUCCCCCCAUUUAAAGUUUAAAAAUCCGAGUGUCACUUGUGUUCGAAGGCACAGCACUUUAAAUUAACACACAUUUUUAAGACUUGUUUUGUCUUUAUCCAAUGUAAAAGAACAAACAUUUUAUAGACUUGUUUUGUCUUAAUCAGUUGUAAAUGGGCACACAUUUUUAAGACUUGUUUUGUCUCUUUCAGACGUUAAUGAACACACAUGUUAUAGACUUGUUUUGUCUUUAUCCAAUGUAAAAGAACAAACAUUUUAUAGACUUGUUUUGUCUAUGUGCGUACCUUAGUUAAAAUAUGUUAGUGCUACGAAAUCCCUGUAUCGCAGCCCAUUCUGAAUUCCUUGGUAAGGUACUUCCUGCUGCAGGUUGGCUGGUAUAUCAUCCCCAAUCAUUGGGAUGUUCAUUUCUUUGCAAAUGUUAUGCAACACUCCACAUGCCAUGAUAACUCUGUAAAAAUGACAUUGAACACUAUAUUACACAGUGUAUUAUGAUCAUGUUGUUAUUUUUAGUUCAAAUAAAUGUGAUGUUUAUGUUAAAUCAUCAUUUUUAUCAUUGUAAUUUUUUUGGCAACACAUAAAUGACUUACUGACAAGCCUUUUCAGGUUUCAAUCGAAUUUCCCCAUGCAGGACUCCCCAUCUUCUUUUCAGUUGGCCAAUUCCUCGUUCAACUUUGCACCUUGUUAUCUUGUGAGCUCUGUGAUAUCAAAUUUACAUUUAAUAAAUAUAGUUAAAUUAUUUUGCUGAUAUACUUUUUAAAUCACAAUCAGUGUGUGAUAUUAUUAUUACAAUAUAUAAAAACUUUAUUUAUUACUGUUUGUAUUGCUACACCACAUGAAAUAAAAAACUUAUUUUAUGCCAUGGAUAUAGUUGUAAACAUACAUUCAAAAAGCACUAACCAUAACCUGAUAUUGUUUUAUUUCAAAAUGUAUCAUUCUAAUAUGUUCUCAUAGUUCUAAUAAAUAUUGUAGACAAUGAA